AUCCCGAAAGGGCAAACCCGCCGCGAGGCGGGGGCGCAAAGCGACCGGUCUCGAAAGAGAUAGCGGCGCUGCCGUG
rfam:Thiobacillus denitrificans ATCC 25259, complete genome.